UACAUAGGUCUCAAGCGUUGUUCGGAUUCAUUGGGCGUAAAGGGUGCGUAGGCGGCUCGGUAAGUCGGGUGUGAAAGCCCACGGCUCAACCGUGGAAGCGCAUCCGAAACGGCCUCGCUCGAGUCUCGGAGAGGAAGGUGGAAUGCUUGGUGUAGAAGUGAAAUUCGUAGAUAUCAAGCAGAACACCUGCGGCGAAGGCGGCCUUCUGGACGAUGACUGACGCUGAGACGCGAAAGCGUGGGGAGCAAACAGG
rnacentral:rRNA from 1 species